CGAUGUGAAGCAGCUUCUUGAUCUUGUGGAGAGUCCAGACUAUAAACUGGAUACUCUGUUGCCAUGGAGGUGGUAACAUUAACCAGGAGGGUGUGUGUUGUGAGAGGAUGAGCUGUGUCCUGAUGAUCCAGAGGUUGAAGCAGACUCUGACUGGACCAUGUUACUGGGAGGUGGAGAGGAGAGCUUCAUCCACAUGGUUAUUUAAGACCAAAAAAAAAUACUCAUUUGUGGGGAUUUCAACAUUGAUUUGCUGAUUCUAAAUCAGCAUAAAUCAACAGAUGAGUUCAUCCAAAUAAUGUAUAGUAUGAGUCUGAAUGACAUCAGUGAUCACCUGCCUGUCUUUCUUGUUAAUGAAUGUAAUUAUAUAACAAUGAGGGAAUUAAACGAAAUUAAAUAUAAGAGAAUAAGUUUUACAUUCCCAGAUCUAUAUGAUAAGCACUGCCCUCUUAAACAAUGUAACACCAAGAACCAUUUGGCAGAAAACCCAUGAAUGACCAAGGGGCUUCAAAAUGCCUGUAAAAAAUGAACUGCUUGUAGAGACUGUUUAUAAAAUAAAACAAAAGAGGCAGAGUUUAAAUAUAAGAAAUAUAAAAAUCAACUGUUAAUUAUAAUGAGAGUAUGCAAAAAGGAUUAUCAAACCAAACUAUUAGAUAUAUAUGGAAUAUAUUAAAUAGUAUUAUUGUGGUUGAUGGUUCUAAAAGCUUCUUUGUUGAUGUUGGGCCCAAUCUUACUAAAGACAUAAAAGAUACUGGAAGGAAACCAGCUGAAAUGGAAUGUGAUGAGAGAAAUGUAGAUUCAAUGUCUUUGGAAACUGUUGAUAAAAUGGAAAUUAUUGCUGUUGUAAAUAGAAGUACCAACUAAACUUGUACAGAUUGGAAUGACAUCGAUAUGUCACUGGUAAAGAAAAUAAUUGAGGGAAUAGCUGAUCCAUCAACUCAUACAUGUACGAUAGGCUGUAUUAUUUAAAUACUGCUGAGCCUAUAGAUGAAAGUAAGGAUGAAGAUGGGUGUCAUGGCUGUUAUGAUUCACAAACAUGGCACCAAAUGUUGGGUCACUGUAAUUAUGACGAUGUGUUGGAGUUGGAAAGUGUCACAGAGGAGAUGAAAAUUAAAGGGAAAACUGAUGAGUCCAACCUGAAAUGUGAGGUCUGUAUCAAGGGAAAUCUGCUGAGAGCAGGAACAGAGAACCGGAUGAGAGAGCAACUGCAGCACUUGCACUUGUACGUACAGAUUUGGCUGAGCCCUAUAGAACCAGCAGCGACAGAUGGGUUCAGGUGCUCAUUGGCAUUCAGGUGCAAUCUUUGUGUGUUUUUUGAAAGCCAAGAGUGACACAGUCAGAGCUACAGAAAAGUUUAUUGCUGAUGUUGAACGUUAUGGGAAAAUCAAAUGUAUUAGAUGUGAUAAUGGCACCGAGUUUACGUCAAAGGAGUUUCAGUCACUAAUCAGUAAAAAUGCCAUUAGACAUGAGACCUCAGCCCCUUAUUCUCCCCAUCAAAAUGGGACAGCUGAGAGAAAGUGGAGAAGACUGUUUGAAAUGGCCAGAUGUAUGUUGAUUGAGAGUAAGCUUCCAAAAGAACUCUGGACAUUAUGCAGUUCAGACUGCUGCAGCUGUCUGCAACAGGUGUUACAGCAAGCGGACAGGACAGACUCCAUACUACAUGCUGACAGGGAAAGUGCCUGGUCUGUCAAGGAUGAAAUGUUCUCCGUCAGUAUGUUAUGCACACAAAUCUAAGAAAAAGAAGCUGGACUCACAGUCUGAAAGGGGGGUCUUUGUUGGUUACCACAAGAAUAGUCCUGCAUAUCUCAUCUUCUACCCAGAAACAGGGAGAGUACUCAAAAACAGGUUGGUAAAGUUCAUCAGCAAAUGUGUGAAUGAGUGUCAGACUCAGACAGACCAGGAUAGGAGUGAAUACAUCCUGUAUAGGGAGAGGGCUGAAAGCACUUUUCCAAAAAUUGAUGCAGUCAAACCAAUCACACAGGAACUUAAAGCUGAGAUUUGUGACACAGACGUCACUACAGGUGAGGGUCAGA